AGUAACCUUUCUAAGAAGGAGGCGGCAGCCAAUAGAACCUUUCUUUCUUUUUUCUUUUUUUUUUUUUCCUCUCCCCACUUCUUACUAGAGAAAUUCGUGUUACCUCAGCAAUUAAGGAGAAGAGCCAGCAUCUAGGGUUCCAGGCUCUGAGGGGGAGUAGCAACUUGUACCAGCAGCAAUACCUGCCAGGACCUUCAGCUGAGCUUGCAGGAGAUGCAGAGAGGCUUCACUGAGUCUUCACAAAGGGAAGAAAUUUCAAAUUAAUAAUUAGGAUUUGAGGUUCCAAUUAAAUCCGUGUUUGGGCCAUUGCUUUGCCUGCCAGUGCUUAAUCUUUUUCGAAGGCCUCAUCACUUAUCUAAAACAAAAGAACAAGGGCUUGCCUGAAAGCAAAAAACCCUGUGGUGAAAUCUGGGUAUGCCAGAAACCAGGCACUGGGAUAAAUUAUGGGGUGGAGACAGGUUCACCUGUGUGAAUAUCAGUGCAGAAGGGCAUCAG
rnacentral:lncRNA from 1 species